AUGGCGAAGCUGCUGGGUUUGCGCUACAGGAUUGUGUACAAACGGGGAGAAGACAACCGAGUGGCAGAUGCCCUGUCACGUCGACCCGGGCCACUGCAAGGGGACCUGGCCACAGUUACCGUGGUAGUGCCGAUCUGGCUUGAAGCAGUGCAGCAAGGGUACAACACUGACCCAGCAGCUCAAAAGUUGCUUGCACGUCUAGCUACUGAACCCAAUGGCCACGACGGAUUCCUUCUUCAGAACGGCAUCAUCAAACACAAUGGGCGCGUGUGGCUCGGGAACAACGUGCCCCUGCAGAAACAAGUCUUGACAGCCUUACACUCCGGCGCGAUCGGCGGUCACUCAGGGUUCAAUGCCACCUACCGUCGAGUCCGCCGGCUGUUCACUUGGCCGGGCAUGAAGCAACACGUGAAACUGCUGGUGGAAGAAUGUCAGGUUUGCAAGCAAGCAAAACCCGAACGGGUCCGUUACCCAGGACUGCUGGAACCCCUACCCGUGCCCAAGCAAGCUUGGGAGCUUAUCACCAUGGAUUUCGUUGAAGGGCUGCCGCAGUCGUCGCGAUACAACAGCAUCAUGGUGGUCGUGGACAAGUUCUCGCGGUACGCACAUUUCAUCCCAUUGUCGCACCCCUUUACGGCGUUUCAAGUUGCCCUUGCAUUCGUCAACAACAUAUACAAGCUUCACGGAUUGCCGGAGGCCAUCGUCUCGGAUCGAGACCCAAUUUUCACCAGUACCAUGUGGAAGGAACUGUUCAGGUUGACUCACACGGAACUGCGCAUGAGCACGGCACGGCACCCCCAAACCGACGGGCAGUCCGAGCGAGUAAACCAAUGCUUGGAGACAUACUUACGCUGCUUUGUGCACGCCUGUCCGUCCAAGUGGUCUGCAUGGUUGGCUCUCGCAGAGUUCUGGUAA
rnacentral:rRNA from 1 species